UCUCUCUCUCUCUCUCUCUCUCUCUCUCUCUCUCUCUCUGUUCACUGAAACCCUAAAACCUCCACCUCUCCAUUCUCUCUAAUCGAUUUUCCUCAUAUCAACAUCCUCAAUCCCCUUUCUAUUCUCCUUACAAACCCUAGCGGGUUCCUCAUUCUUCUCGGUGCCUCAUACCGCUGAGACAAUGAAGACAAUGGACGUUGAAGAUGUUCACGGGAACUGAGACAACGGAUGGUAGCCAAAUUCUUGCAAGAUUUUAGAUCUGUGAGUUUUGAGGAUGGGGAAGCGAUUGCUGAUGCGAUUCAGCAUAUGUAUUUGUCGGGUCAGAGAUUUGGUUGUAGCAUCACUUCAGAUUUGCACUUAUAUUGUUCUGGUUUCAUGAACUAUAUCUUUAUCAAGAUUACCUUUUAGUUUCAUUAUUUGAUUUCAUGAACCUACAUUUACCUUUCUGAUUUGCACAUUUUUUAACCAUUUGAUUUCAUUAUUUCUUAUAGUUUUCUUUUAGUUUCCUUUUAGGUUUCUGUCCAAGACUAUCCAGUUUUCUUUCUACUCUAAACUUCAAGUGGAUGCUGACGAUCCAACUGCAAGCUACAUGUUACAAUGCAGAUGAAAUUAGCUUAUGCUGAAGCUUCAUCUAAAUUAAAUUGUAAGUGUAAGCAUUUACUGAUUAUAUAUUAUUAAUUGUUUGUUUAGUUUGAAGAUAGGUUCUAGAUUUUACUUAUUUUCCUCUCUCGAUUAUAGAUAAUUUGACAGAUGCACUUUUGUUCUUGUCGCAUUUUGUCGGGGAUGUACAUCAGAUCUCAAUGCUUCUCAAGUUUCAACCGCCACAUAAGUUCUUCAACGCCUUUUUCUAGCUGGUCUUUGGCUUCUUCAAGUUCCUCUGUAUAUCUUGCAUCCAUUCCGAGCAUUCUGAGUUUUAUUCUAGCAACCCUUCUCCUAUAAUUACGAAAUGUAACUUGCUCGCAAAAAUGAGUAUGAAUUUGAAUUACAACUUUUCUUUGCGUUCUAAGUAAGAUUUCAUGGUAAUGUAUCUUUUGAAAUUCUUUACUAUUUUCAGAGUUGUUGCUUCACGUCAAUACCGGCCGUAAAGCUUCCGGGCCAAUAUGUAAUUUAGAAUGGUUUAUAACAUUGAUACAAGCCAGUUAUAAUGAAUGCUUAUAUUAUUUUGCUCACUCCUUGGAAGUUUUGUGCAUUGGUUUGUAUUUAUCUCGAUAUGUAGAUAUUAUUUAAGUAAUUGGAUGCCAAUACGAUUCGAUAUAUUUGUUUCUUACUGUAUAGAAUAGGUGUCAUAUUUUCCAUAUUUGAUUCAUAUAGACUCAAUGUUAUAUGAAAGCGUAUAAACACGUCAAUGCUAU